CUGGCUCAGAACGAACGCUGGCGGCAUGCCUAACACAUGCAAGUCGAACGAAGCCUUCGGGCUUAGUGGCGCACGGGUGAGUAACACGUGGGAACCUGCCUUUCGGUUCGGAAUAACGUUUGGAAACGAACGCUAACACCGGAUACGCCCUUUGGGGGAAAGUUUACGCCGAGAGAGGAGCCCGCGUCCGAUUAGGUAGUUGGUGAGGUAACGGCUCACCAAGCCGACGAUCCGUAGCUGGUCUGAGAGGAUGAUCAGCCACACUGGGACUGAGACACGGCCCAGACUCCUACGGGAGGCAGCAGUGGGGAAUAUUGGACAAUGGGCGCAAGCCUGAUCCAGCAAUGCCGCGUGAGUGAUGAAGGCCUUAGGGUUGUAAAGCUCUUUCGCACGUGACGAUGAUGACGGUAACGUGAGAAGAAGCCCCGGCUAACUUCGUGCCAGCAGCCGCGGUAAU
rnacentral:rRNA from 1 species